CCAGCGCCCGCGGUAAUUCCAGCUCCAAUAGCGUAUAUUAUAGUUGUUGCAGUUAAAAAGCUCGUAGUCUGAAUCUUGGUUGGUGUUGAGCGUCCGUGGCUUCGGUCGCGUGCACGUAACACACUGGCCAUAUCCUUCUGAGGAACAUGGGUGCUUUUCAUUAAGUGCUCAUGGGAUUCCGAUAGUUUACUUUGAGAAAAAUAGAGUGUUCAAAGCAGGCGUUUUUGCCUUGAAUACAUUAGCAUGGGAUAAUAGGAUAGGACAUUGGUUCUAUUUUGAUGUUUUACGGACCGAUGUAAUGAUUAAUAGGAACAGUUGGGGACAUUCAUAUUCCAUGGCUAGAGGUGAAAUUCUUGGAUUCAUGGAAGAUGAACUACUGCGAAAGCAUUUGUCAAAGAUGUUUUCAUUGAUCAAGAACGAAAGU
rnacentral:rRNA from 1 species